rnacentral:rRNA from 1 species
GCCAGCAGCCAUUUCACCCUGCAGCUCACAGCUCACAGCUGACAGCCCACUGAAGCUCAGCAGGUGUGAGCCUGGUCUGUACCUGGAUGGGAGACCUGCUGGGAAAGCUGAGGUUGCUGCUGGAA